GACGAACGCUGGCGGCAUGCCUAACACAUGCAAGUCGAACGAGAUCUUCGGGUCUAGUGGCGCACGGGUGCGUAACGCGUGGGAAUCUGCCCUUUGGUUCGGAAUAACAGUUGGAAACGACUGCUAAUACCGGAUGAUGACGAAAGUCCAAAGAUUUAUCGCCAGAGGAUGAGCCUGCGUAGGAUUAGCUAGUUGGUGCGGUAAAGGCGCACCAAGGCGACGAUCCUUAGCUGGUCUGAGAGGAUGAUCAGCCACACUGGGACUGAGACACGGCCCAGACUCCUACGGGAGGCAGCAGUGGGGAAUAUUGGACAAUGGGCGAAAGCCUGAUCCAGCAAUGCCGCGUGAGUGAUGAAGGCCUUAGGGUUGUAAAGCUCUUUUACCCGGGAUGAUAAUGACAGUACCGGGAGAAUAAGCUCCGGCUAACUCCGUGCCAGCCGCCGCCGUAA
rnacentral:rRNA from 1 species